rnacentral:misc_RNA from 1 species
GAUGAAGAACGCAGCGAAAUGCGAUAAGUAAUGUGAAUUGCAGAAUUCAGUGAAUCAUCGAAUCUUUGAACGCACAUUGCGCCCGCCAGUAUUCUGGCGGGCAUGCCUGUUCGAGCGUCAUUACAACCCUCAGGCCCCCGGGCCUGGCGUUGGGGAUCGGCGGAGCCCCCCGUGGGCACACGCCGUCCCCCAAAUACAGUGGCGGUCCCGCCGCAGCUUCCAUCGCGUAGUAGCUAACACCUCGCGACUGGAGAGCGGCGCGGCCACGCCGUAAAACACCCAACUCUUCUGAAGUUGACCUCGAAACAGGUAGGAAUACCCGCUGAACUUAAGCAUAUCAAUAAGCGGAGGA